rnacentral:rRNA from 1 species
CAGCAGCCGCGGUAAUACGUAGGGCGCAAGCGUUAUCCGGAAUUAUUGGGCGUAAAGAGCUCGUAGGCGGUUUGUCGCGUCUGCCGUGAAAGUCCGGGGCUCAACCCCGGAUCUGCGGUGGGUACGGGCAGACUAGAGUGAUGUAGGGGAGACUGGAAUUCCUGGUGUAGCGGUGAAAUGCGCAGAUAUUAGGAGGAACACCGAUGGCGAAGGCAGGUCUCUGGGCAUUAACUGACGCUGAGGAGCGAAAGCAUGGGGAGCGAACAGGAUUAGAUACCCCGGUAGUCCCUGUCUCUUAUAC